CUUUGGCAGAAGAGAGAGAAAAGGGUUUCUUAGGUGGAAGAAUUUCUCAAGAAUGUUCUCACUCUCAUGAGGUAACGAGGCAGGACACCUGCGGUCCCAGAAGCAAAGGAGUUGAGAUACCUUACAGAAGAAAACCAAACUGAUGACCAAGAAGGAGUUUUGAAUGUUGCUAGUGUUUGAAGAUGAGUAAAUGUCAAGUGGAGACUUCGAGUCCCAGAAAACUGUGGGUAAAGUUUAUUUCAGGCCAGAUCAAGUCUUACUCUUAGCAGCGAGGAACGCAGCAGUGAGAAGCCUUCCAGAACACAGUGCCUAACGGCAGUCACCGCCACACCUGAGCCUCAUCAGUCCCGAUGCACAAAGGGUGGACGGCAGACGUGUCUCCGUGCUGUCUGGCUGUUGCUGUUCGGAUCCUCACAAUGGCCUUAUGAAGCGGGCAUCAGCCCCAUCGCUGCAGUGGGGAAAGCUAAGUCGUUUCCCCCAGUCUCCCAGUGAGUUCGCGAAGGAUCAAAAGUUCAGACUCCAGAGCUCACGCCCAUAAUUCUCCCUCAGUUCUGUUCUGGGCACCAUGACCAGAAAGAAGUUUGGUGCUGAACACAUAUCUUAGACUAACAGUAAAUGUGCAGUGAUUAAUUCAUGGCACAUCAAAAGCAUCCGAAGACACAAUGACAUGAAAUGCAGGUUUUGUUGAACUGAUUCACAGGUCUAAUGUGGAUUUAAAAUGACUUGUGUGUGUUUAUGAGUAUUUAUAUAUUAUUUGUGUCAGCCAGAAAUAGAACCAAGUAUUGUGUGUCAGGACGAAAGCCAAGUAAAUUGGAGAUGUCAGAAAUAACUAAAAGCUCUGGAUGAAUUAUACCAAUUCUUUAGAGCACUCUGGGGUAUUUCCAGAGAAUGUAUCCACGCCAGCCCUCAAGGCAAUAAACUCUGUAAGUC